GAAGUGUGUGUGGUCAGUGCUGUGUGGGGUCAGGUCUGCUCAGAGAUCCAGAUCACACCAGCACCUUUCCAAGGGAACUUGAAAAGGGGAAGGACAAAGCGCAAUUAUUAUGAAGAUAAGGAGCUUUUGUGAGUCAGUGUUUUCAGUUUCCCACUCCUGGGGAGUUUGGGGGUUGAGAAGUGGAAAUGGAGCUCUCUUGUUGGACAAGUCACCGAGACUC